AAUAAAGUGCCUGAUAAAAGGGUUAUCUUGAUAGGAUAAAUUAUAUACAUCUUGUAUCUUUAUUA
rnacentral:tRNA from 1 species